rnacentral:rRNA from 1 species
CAGGGAAUAUUGCGCAAUGGGCGAAAGCCUGACGCAGAGACGCCGCGUGAGGGAUGAAGGCCUUCGGGUUGUAAACCUCUUUCAGUUAGAAGAAGCGAAAGUGACGGUAUCCACAGAAGAAGCCCCGGCCAACUACGUGCCAGCAGCCGCGGUGAUACGGAGGGGGCAAGCGUUGUUCGGAAUUACUGGGCGUAAAGGGCGCGUAGGCGGGCGGUAAGUCAGAGGUGAAAGGCUUGGGCUCAACCUGGGAACUGCCUUUGAAACUAGUUGUCUAGAGUCCGGAAGAGGAUGGCGGAAUUCCCAGUGUAGAGGUGAAAUUCGUAGAUAUCGGGAGGAACAUCAGUGGCGAAGGCGGCUAUCUGGACCAACACUGACACUGAGGUACGAAAGCGUGGGUAGCAAACAGGAUUAGAUACCCUGGUAGUCCACGCCCUAAACGAUGGGUACUAGACGUCGGGAAGCUUGUCUUCUUGGUGUCGCAGCUAACGCAAUAAGUACCCCGCCUGGGGAGUACGGCCGCAAGGUUA